rnacentral:rRNA from 1 species
UUGAACGCUGGCGGCAGGCCUAACACAUGCAAGUCGCACGGUAACAGGAAGCAGCUUGCUGCUUCGCUGACGAGUGGCGGACGGGUGAGUAAUGUCUGGGAAGCUGCCUGAUGGAGGGGGAUAACUACUGGAAACGGUAGCUAAUACCGCAUAAUGUCGCAAGACCAAAGAGGGGGACCUUCGGGCCUCUUGCCAUCGGAUGUGCCCAGAUGGGAUUAGCUUGUUGGUGGGGUAACGGCUCACCAAGGCGACGAUCCCUAGCUGGUCUGAGAGGAUGACCAGCCACACUGGGACUGAGACACGGUCCAGACUCCUGCGGGAGGCAGCAGUGGGGAAUAUUGCACAAUGGGCGCAAGCCUGAUGCAGCCAUGCCGCGUGUAUGAAGAAGGCCUUCGGGUUGUAAAGUACUUUCAGCGGGGAGGAAGGGAGUAAAGUUAAUACCUUUGCUAAUUGACGUUACCCGCAGAAGAAGCACCGGCUAACUCCGUG